UUUUUUGUUUUGUUUUCUCUCAGUGAUGAAAUCGAACUCUGACAGAAAAGCACACGAAGCAUAUUUUUGCCGUGUCACAAACAAAUGUGAACAGUAAAUGAACUCCCACGUCGUGGCCACUCCCAUCAAGGAGGGGACCUUGAACCUAGCUUUGGUGGAGGCUCAGGCCUGCAGUCCUAGCUGAGGUAGCAGGAUUGCCAUGAGUCUGAGGUCAGCAUGGGUCACAGAGUGAGAAACUCUAUCAUAAAAGAAAAAAGAAGUGGACCAUGGCCAGGGUUCCAGAAACUUCCUUCCCAUCCACCGUAUCCCUCUGCCUGCUCAUUCACCUGCUUCCAUUCUGGUUUGCCAGUAUGUGUGCAUCUCUCAGGGGAGCAGACCAUGGCUGGAUUUUGAACCGUGUAUGUGGAAUUCUUGUGUUUAGGCACCGUCUUCCUGAGAGCCAUCCACCUUUUUGGGUGUCCUUCCUGUUUGGUGGUGGCCGUGUACCUUUCCACUCCAGACCUAAGCCUUAGGGUGUCAAUUCUCGCCCUUCUACCCCAUGGGUCCUGGGGCUUGAACUCAAGUCACCAGGCUUGGUAGCAAAUGCUUUUACCUGCUGAACUAUCAUCUCGAAGGCCCUAGGACACAGUUCCAUUCCAGAGACCCUCAGCUGGGUCAGGUCAGCUUUGUGAGAUCGUGAUGCUGGGGACAUCCUUGCUCCAGGCUCCAGUUCCUCUGCUUCUGUGGCGCACAGGCCUGGGCUGGAACCAGUGAGUCAUAACAGGCUACCUCUCAAGCCAUCUCCCCAAGGGAUGGAAGUGGUGUGCUCCUCGACUUCCCUGCUGCUGGUUUAUCUGGAUGACACUUGCGUCAUCAGACUUACUCCAGCCCUCUGGGCAGGCAGGCAUGUGGGGUGUGUGUGUGUGUGUGUGUGUGUGUGUGUGUGUGUCCUUGGGACAUGCAGGACCUUGCUUUGUGUUUGGGCUAUUUGAACUUCCUUUAAGCAACAGGUUUGUCUUCCUGAGGACCAGUCAGUCAGUGGUUAGCUUCUAAAUGGGUGUAACCUACUCCCGCUAGGAAAAGUGUACACCGGGUCCCAUUUCCCCCCCCCCGUUCCCCCCCCCAUGGUUUGCUCUUACCUUGUAUGGCAUUUAUUUGUUUGCUUUUCUUUUUAAUGUUAAUUUAUUUAUUGAGAUAAGUUCUCCUUACAUAGCCCUGGCUAUCCUGAAACUCACUGUGUAGUUCUGGCUGUCCUUAAACUCUUAGAGAUCUGCCUGCCUCUGCCUCCCUGGUGCUAAAUUAAAGUUGUUUUGUUUGCCACCACGGCUGACUUGUGAUUAGCCUUUGUGACGUUCUCCUCGGCACUGCAAGGUCACAGGUUUUCUCACCUCUCAUCUUCUGCAAGGGGAAAUGGUGCUGUGUGCACAUCUUCAGUGUGCGUGCGUGCAUGUGUGUGUUCACCAUCUGCUAUGUUUGCCCCCUCAGAGGGGUGGCAGUGUGGAGGAGAGAUGUCUGGCCCCCUCUUUGCCCUAUGGGCCUCAAGAUGGCCAUCAUGCCCUGCUCUGGCUAGUAUGACAGGCUACAGGACACAAGAUGGGAACCAAAGGGGACUGGACUCAAAGAAAGAACAGUUCACAUGGGUCUAGAGAAUGGCCAGAAAUGAUGAGUGGACCACGGAGGCCAGGGACACCAAAACCAGGGCAGGGGACUCAGAGGUGACCUGGGCAGACUGUGAGCCCCAUAUAUAGAGCCAACAAUGACAAUUCGAUUCUAAAAGGGGCUGAAGACUGUUUUGGCUCUUGGUAAGCUAGGGUGCUGGACAAUCCACAGUUGCCAAAACUGCUCCAAGCCUGUAGCUUCUGGGUUCACUGUUACACAUCCAAGAAGAGGAAUGACCACAGACGGUGGGAGAAGAUCAGAUGUGGACUCAUAAGGAGCAGGAGGGAAGGGAGCGUCCCAUGACAGGUAUGGGCAGGACAGAGACCAGUCACUUUUGAGCAUUUUUGUCAGGCCAUUGAGGAGACCACACACCCUCACAUCCUGUGUAUGCUCCCUUGUCCCAACUGGAGAGGUGGUCAUGUGUUACUCUUCCAGUCAGGGGAAUGGUCACAUGUUACAGUCAUGACCAGCUCAUGAUCCGGUCUGCCUUUGCUUUCUGCUAAGAGCCAGCUCCCCUCUGACCAGGCUGAAGUAAAUCUCACUGCCUCCAGUGCCAUCCACUCCCCAGAUGUCACAAGGGCUGAGAUUGGAUGUCUUGGAACUGCAGUGUUUAGCUGAUGUACCCAUAUUUUGAGGUCCCAUGCUCUGGGACUGCGAGGGUGGGGUGGGGCAGCUUUGGAGCCUGGGAUCCCAACAGAGACAAAGGGUUAGAAGAGUAGAGGACACCCUGGGGAGUCCUAGGGGGCGAUUGCCCCUGUGUGUGGUUGGAAGGCAUUCAGCCUCCAGGAAUCUCAGAUUGGGGUGGGGCAGGGAGGAGUAUGGGGUACUUGAGACAGCCCAGUUCCCACUUAAGGGUCGCUCUGAGCGGCUGGAUGUGUGGUAGGCAUGGGCAUUGAGGGCAGAGGCCUCAGGCUUUCCUGCAGGGUUUUAGAGAAGCCAGUCUUCCUGAUCCCUGCCAGCCGUAUUUAGAGAGUGUGAGGACGACCCCUUCCCAAGUGCCUCAAGCCCCAGUUGGCAGCAGGCUGUACUUCUGCGGAUUUCCUGCCACCUGUUCCUUUCCAGGAACUUGUCCUCUAUCUUCAGGCGGCUUCUGACCAGGCAGCAAGACCUCUAAUCUCUCACAUCUCACUUACUGGUACCACGCCUCUCAAGCUUCCUGCUGCUGAGCCUGGACUGAGGUGUGGGGUCAGCACCCAGGCUGCUGAGAUCUCUCUCCCCUCUGGAGCCCCAGACAGCUGUCACCUCUCUUCCUCUGGCAGUCUGGCAGAAGAUGGACAGUGGCCACCUUAAGCCUCCCUCUUGGUCCCUGGAUCCAUCAGCAGUGACAUUUGUCGCAGUGGCAGAGUCUGGGGAUCUCUGGGAAGAAGGAGAUUGGAGUUUGAGCUGGCAGAUGGGCCCAAGCAGAAGGCAUCAAGACUCUGCACAGUUGGAGUCCCCAGGGCAUUUCCUCAGCAUUGUUCUCCAGGACCUCGGGCAGACCUGCUUCUGGGAGCAGCAGAAUUCCACAGGCAAUCUGGACCAGGCAGGGGCGACUGCAGACCACAUUGCCAAGCAUUCCUCCUCUCGUGGGUGGUGAAGGUCUAUGCGGUGCCAGCAACUUCAGUGCAUGCGCAGCCAUGAUGUGAACGAGGAUCUCACUGUGCAGCACUGGCUGACCUUGAACUCACCGAGAUCAGCUUGCCUGUGCUGGGACAUGGCAAGUUCCUAACCAGGAACAUCACAGAAGCAAGCCUUCCUUUUACAGUCCAGUGUGGACCUCCUGCAGAGGAGGGGGCACGGAGGGCAGCUGAUCCCUCUCAAAGUUUACUCAGCUUCCUGCCUAGGCCACACAGUUCACGUCACACAGUCCCUGGAAUCUGGAGGUCAUGUGUUCAAUUUACUCAUGUCCUGUGGGGUACCACCUCCAAGGACCAGUUCUCCUGGAACAGAGCAGCACAAGCAGCCAGCCACCCAUGAGGCCUUAAGAAGGGCCCUAAACCUGGCCCUGGCUGUGUGUCGAGGAGUCCCUGUACUCGAGAGGUAGAGACAAGAGGCUUGGGCGUUUAAGGCAAGCAUGGACUACAUAGUGGGUUCUAGGAUAGCUUGGGCAACAUGAAACUGUCUCCAAAAAACCAAAUUAGGAGGCUGAAUGAAUGCCUCAACAGUUAAGAGCACUGGCUGCUCUUGCAGAGGACCAAGGUUCAAUUCCCAGCACCCACAUGGCAGCUCACGAGCAUCUGUGACUCCAGCCCUCGUUGGUGUGAGUAUACACACAUUCAGUCAAAACACCAAAAGACAUAAAAUAAAAUAAUUUUAAAAAUA